GCGAGUGAAGCGGCAACAGCUCAAAUUUGAAAUCUGGCCCCCUAGGGGGUCCGAGUUGUAAUUUGCAGAGGAUGCUUUUGGCGAGGCGCCGGCCGAGUGCCCUGGAAUGGGACGCCGUAGAGGGUGAGAGCCCCGUACGGCCGGACGUCGAGCCUCUGUAAAGCUCCCUCGACGAGUCGAGUAGUUUGGGAAUGCUGCUCUAAACGGGAGGUAAACCCCUUCUAAAGCUAAAUACCGGCCAGAGACCGAUAGCGCACAAGUAGAGUGAUCGAAAGAUGAAAAGCACUUUGAAAAGAGAGUUAAACAGCACGUGAAAUUGUUGAAAGGGAAGCGCUUGUGGCCAGACUUGCGCCCGGCGGCUCAGCCGUCCCUCGUGGGCGGUGCACUCCGCCGGGCUCAGGCCAGCAUCAGCUCGCUGCUGGGGAGAAAGGCGGUGGGAACGUGGCUCUUCGGAGUGUUAUAGCCCGCCGCCAUGCCCUCCAGCGGGCUGAGGUUCGCGCCUUAGGGCAAGGAUGCUGGCGUAAUGGCCAUCAGCGACCCGUCUUGAAACACGGACCAAGGAGUCGUCCUAGCAUGCGAGUGUUCGGGUGCCAAACCCCUACGCGAAAUGAAAGUGAACGGAGGUGAGAGCUUCGGCGCAUCAUCGACCGAUCCUGAUGUUUUCGGAUGGAUUUGAGUAGGAGCAUGCUGGGCCGGACCCGAAAGAAGGUGAACUAUGCUUGGAUAGGGCAAAGCCAGAGGAAACUCUGGUGGAGGCUCGCAGCGGUUCUGACGUGCAAAUCGAUCGUCAAAUCUGAG
rnacentral:rRNA from 1 species